rnacentral:sRNA from 1 species
UCCAAUGAGAAUGAGUCCCAUGGUGAU